UACGUAGGGUGCGAGCGUUAAUCGGAAUUACUGGGCGUAAAGCGUGCGCAGGCGGUUCGUUGUGUCCGAUGUGAAAGCCCCGGGCUUAACCUGGGAAUGGCAUUGGAAACUGGCGGGCUUGAGUGCGGCAGAGGGGGGGUGGAAUUCCCGGUGUAGUGGUGAAAUGCGUAGAGAUCGGGAGGAACACCAGUGGCGAAGGCGGCCCCCCCUGGGGCCCGUUCCUGACGCUGAGACGCGAAGGCGCGGGGGAGCGAAACGGGG
rnacentral:rRNA from 1 species